CCUACGGGUGGCAGCAGUGAGGAAUAUUGCGCCAUGGGCGAAAGCCUGACGCAGCGACGCCGCGUGAGGGAUGAAGGUCUUCGGAUCGUAAACCUCUGUCAGCAGGGAAGCACGGUCACUGUGCUAAUCAGCAGUGAAUUGACGGUACCUGCAAAGGAAGCACCGGCUCACUCCGUGCCAGCAGCCGCGUUAAUACGGAGGGUGCUAGCGUUAAUCGGAAUUACUGGGCGUAAAGCGCUCGUAGGCGGUAUGUCAAGGCAAGGGUGAAAUCCCCGCGCUCAAGGUGGGGACUGCCUUUGAAACUGGCAACCUGGAGUGUGUGAGAGGAUAGUGGAAUUCCAGGUGUAGGGGUGAAAUCCGUAGAUAUCUGGAGGAACAUCAGUGGCGAAGGCGACUAUCUGGCACAUAACUGACGCUGAGGAGCGAAAGCGUGGGUAGCAAACAGGAUUAGAUACCCCAGUAGUC
rnacentral:rRNA from 1 species